AGUGAACGCUGGCGGUAGGCCUAACACAUGCCAGUCGAACGGCAGCACAGUAAGAGCUUGCUCUUACGGGUGGCGAGUGGCGGACGGGUGAGGAAUACAUCGGAAUCUACUUUUUCGUGGGGGAUAACGUAGGGAAACUUACGCUAAUACCGCAUACGACCUACGGGUGAAAGCAGGGGAUCUUCGGACCUUGCGCGAUUGAAUGAGCCGAUGUCGGAUUAGCUAGUUGGCGAGGUAAAGGCCCACCAAGGCGACGAUCCGUAGCUGGUCUGAGAGGAUGAUCAGCCACACUGGAACUGAGACACGGUCCAGACUCCUACGGGAGGCAGCAGUGGGGAAUAUUGGACAAUGGGCGCAAGCCUGAUCCAGCCAUACCGCGUGGGUGAAGAAGGCCUUCGGGUUGUAAAGCCCUUUUGUUGGGAAAGAAAAGCAGCAGGUUAAUACCCCGCUGUUCUGACGGUACCCAAAGAAUAAGCACCGGCUAACUUCGUG
rnacentral:rRNA from 1 species